CAGGGGAGCCGAGGCGGAUGUCUUCCGACAUUUCGAGCUGCAUGAGCUCGCUAGGCUCGGCUGCGGGGACGUUUGUUCCCGCAGGAGGGAGAGGACGUCCGUUACCGUUACGGCCGGUUUCUGCUUCGGAGUCGGACUCUCCUUCGUCGUCUUCUUCUUCGUCCUCGUCCUCGUCGUCUUCUUGCGCGGCUGCGUGGAGAGGAGGAGGGUUGUUUGCUGCCGCGUUGUUGCGGAUGGCAGUGAGGUGAGGAGAAUGGAAGCGGGGGUGGUGGUCGGAGGAGGUGGCGGGGUUGGAGGUGGAGUGCUCCGAGAGGGCCGGCUUGGGCGGUGGAAGGUGGUGGUGAUCGACGAAGAAAGUUUUGACGUGUUGGACGAAGGCUAGGUCUUCUGGAACCCUGUCAGUUGUGCCUAGCUCGACGACGCCGUCAAGGAGAGGAAUGCACACUACAGUUUGAA
rnacentral:lncRNA from 1 species